AUACGAAAGGUGCGAGCGUUGUUCGGAUUUACUGGGCGUAAAGCGAGUGUAGGUGGUUUGUUAAGUCGGAUGUGAAAUCCCGGGGCUCAACCUCGGAACUGCACUCGAUACUGGCAGGCUAGAGUUCGGGAGGGGUAAGCGGAAUUCCGUGUGUAGCAGUGAAAUGCGUAGAUAUAUGGAGGAACACCUGAGGCGAAGGCGGCUUACUGGACCGAUACUGACACUGAGACUCGAAAGCGUGGGUAGCAAACAGGAUUAGAAACCCUAGUAGUCC
rnacentral:rRNA from 1 species